GUAGUCCACGCCCUAAACUAUGUCAACUGGUUGUCGGGGAAGCAAUUCCUUGGUAACGAAGCUAACGCGUGAAGUUGACCGCCUGGGGAGUACGGCCGCAAGGUUAAAACUCAAAGGAAUUGACGGGGACCCGCACAAGCGGUGGAUUAUGUGGAUUAAUUCGAUGCAACGCGAAAAACCUUACCUACCCUUGACAUGCCAGGAACCUCGCAGAGAUGUGAGGGUGCCCGAAAGGGAACCUGGACACAGGUGCUGCAUGGCUGUCGUCAGCUCGUGUCGUGAGAUGUUGGGUUAAGUCCCGCAACGAGCGCAACCCUUGCCAUUAGUUGCCACAUUCAGUUGGGCACUCUAAUGGGACUGCCGGUGACAAACCGGA
rnacentral:rRNA from 1 species